rnacentral:rRNA from 1 species
UACAGAGGUCUCAAGCGUUGUUCGGAUUCAUUGGGCGUAAAGGGUGCGUAGGUGGCGCGGUAAGUCGGGUGUGAAAUUUCGGAGCUUAACUCCGAAACUGCAUUCGAUACUGCCGUGCUUGAGGACUGGAGAGGAGACUGGAAUUUACGGUGUAGCAGUGAAAUGCGUAGAGAUCGUGAGGAAGACCAGUGGCGAAGGCGGAUCUCUGGACAGUUCCUGACGCUGAGGCGCGAAGGCCAGGGGAGCAAACGGG